rnacentral:rRNA from 1 species
UGUAUAUUAAAGUUGCUGCGGUUAAAAAAGCUCGUAGUUGGAUUUCGGAGUUGUUAUCUGAACCUUCUCGCCCUAAAAAGUGGGGGGGCUAAGGUAGCAGUAGUUUUCAUCAUAGUCCAUCAGGAUACUCUCUUGAUGUGUACUGGGUGUUAACCUCCUUUUUUUCUGGUACUUGCUAUCCAGCAAUGGGUAGUUUUGUCCAGAUAGUUUACUUUGAAAAAAUUAGAGUGUUCAAAGCAGGCAUAAUUGGCAUCAUGAAUACAUUAGCAUGGGAUAAUAGAAUAUGACAUUGGUCUUAUUUUGUUGGUUUCUAAGGCCAAAGUAAUGAUUGAUAGGGAUAGUUGGGGCCGCUCGUAUUGAGUUGUCAGAGGUGAAAUUCUAGGAUUUACUCAAAGACGAACUAAUGCGAAAGCAUUCGGCAAGGAUGUUUUCAUUAAUCAAGAACGAAAGUUGGGGAUCGAAGAUGAUCAGAUACCGUCGUAGUCUCAACCAUAAACUAUGUCAACCGAGGAUCCGGUAG